rnacentral:lncRNA from 1 species
GGAGCAACUAAUAAAGCUCUGUACCACUGUUGAAGAUGGUUUUAGCCUGGAGAAUUUUCCUGAGUAUGCUGCUUAUGUGGACCCUGCUGCCAAUGCAGAUGAUCUGACUCAGGUGGAUACUGUCCUGUUGUCAGAUGACAAUUUUAUCCUUCCCCCUGGAAUUGAGGGUUACUCAACUGAUGGCGACCACUUGCCGCUGCCUCCUGGACGUAGAAAAGAAUUGGAUCG